rnacentral:rRNA from 1 species
AGGAAGCGAGAAGUCGACGCGCCGAAAGGCGUCCGGCCCUCCGCGAGCGCCCGCGGGGGUUCGGGUUACGGACCCGGUCCGAUCCCGUUCCCACCGAGGGGCUGUCCGCGAUGAAGGAGGUGUCCUCGGACGGCGUCGAAUCUUUUCUCCGGUCCGCGACGCUGCGGCUUGGAUGGUCCACCCGACCCGUCUUGAAACACGGACCAAGGAGUCUAACAUGCGCGCGAGUCGUUGGGUCGGACGCGCUCCGCUAAACCCAUAGGCGCAAUGAAAGUGAAGGCCGCCGUUCGGGCGGCCGAGGGAGGACGGGGCCUCUGGCCCCCGCACCCCCGGGGCGUCUGAUCCCUCAUCGCGAGGGGAGGCGCACCCAGAGCGCACACGUUGGGACCCGAAAGAUGGUGAACUAUGCCUGGCCAGGACGAAGUCAGGGGAAACCCUGAUGGAGGUCCGUAGCGAUUCUGACGUGCAAAUCGAUCGUCGGAGCUGGGUAUAGGGGCGAAAGACUAAUCGAACCAUCUAGUAGCUGGUUCCCUCCGAAGUUUCCCUCAGGAUAGCUUGCGCUCGGAGGAGAGUCUCAUCCGGUAAAGCGAAUGAUUAGAGGCCUUGGGGCCGAAACGGCUUCAACCUAUUCUCAAACUUUAAAUGGGUGAGAGCUCCGGCUUGCUCGAUACGUCGAAGCCGGAGACAGGAUCGGAGUGCCUAGUGGGCCACUUUUGGUAAGCAGAACUGGCGCUGUGGGAUGAACCAAACGACGGGUUAAGGCGCCCGAAUCGACGCUCAUGGGAAACCAUGAAAGGUGUUGGUUGCUUAAGACAGCAGGACGGUGGCCAUGGAAGUCGGAAUCCGCUAAGGAGUGUGUAAUAACUCACCUGCCGAAGCAACUAGCCCUGAAAAUGGAUGGCGCUGAAGCGUCGUGCCUAUACCCGGCCGUCGCGGCGGGGCGGACCCGGUCUCGAACCGGGUGCCGUUCGAUGCGGCGACGAGUAGGAGGGUCGCGGCGGCGUGCGCAGAAGGGUCUGGGCUCGAGCCUGCCUGGAGCCGCCGCCGGUGCAGAUCUUGGUGGUAGUAGCAAAUACUCCAGCGAGGCCCUGGAGGACUGAUGUGGAGAAGGGUUUCGUGUGAACAGCCGUUGCACACGAGUCAGUCGAUCCUAAGCCCUAGGAGAAAUCCGACGCCUACGGCGACGGGUAGAAAUUUAUGAAAUGUGAAAGAAUCCCGUUGAUCGGGCGAAAGGGAAUCCGGUUCCUAUUCCGGAACCCGGCAGCGGAACCGCUGUUUGUCGGGCCCUCACAAGGGGUUCGUCAGGGUAACCUAAAAGGGCCCGGAGACGCCGUCGGGAGCCCCGGAAAGAGUUUUCUUUUCUGCAUGAGCGUUCGAGUUCCCUG